rnacentral:rRNA from 1 species
GACGAACGCUGGCGGCGUGCCUAAUACAUGCAAGUUGAGCGCUGAAGGUUGGUACUUGUACCAACUGGAUGAGCAGCGAACGGGUGAGUAACGCGUGGGGAAUCUGCCUUUGAGCGGGGGACAACAUUUGGAAACGAAUGCUAAUACCGCAUAAAAACUUUAAACACAAGUUUUAAGUUUGAAAGAUGCAAUUGCAUCACUCAAAGAUGAUCCCGCGUUGUAUUAGCUAGUUGGUGAGGUAAAGGCUCACCAAGGCGAUGAUACAUAGCCGACCUGAGAGGGUGAUCGGCCACAUUGGGACGGAGACACGGCCCAAACUCCUACGGGAGGCAGCAGGAGGGAAGCUUCGGCAAUGGACGAAAGUCUGACCGAGCAACGCCGCGGGAGUGAAGAAGGGUUUCGGAUCGUAAAACUCUGUUGGUAGAGAAGAACGUUGGUGAGAGUGGAAAGCUCAUCAAGUGACGGUAACUACCCAGAAAGGGACGGCUAACUACGUG